rnacentral:rRNA from 1 species
GACGAAUGCUGGCUGCGUGCUUAACACAUGCAAGUCGAACGGUGAAAGGGAGCUUGCUCCCUGGAUCAGUGGCGAACGGGUGAGUAACACGUGGGCAACCUGCCCCUCACUCUGGGAUAACUCCGGGAAACCGGGGCUAAUACCGGAUACGACCUGGUGCGACAUCGCACCGGGUGGAAAGAACUUCGGUGAGGGAUGGGCCCGCGGCCUAUCAGCUUGUUGGUGGGGUAACGGCCCACCAAGGCGACGACGGGUAGCCGGCCUGAGAGGGCGACCGGCCACACUGGGACUGAGGCACGGCCCAGACUCCGACGGGAGGCAGCAGUGGGGGAUAUUGCGCAAUGGGCGAAAGCCUGACGCAGCGACGCAGCGUGAGGGACGAAGGCCUUCGGGUUGUAAACCUCUUUCAGCGGGGACGAAGCGAAAGUGACGGUACCCGCAGAAGAAGCACCGGCUAACUACGUGCCAGCCGCCGCAGUAAGAC